AUUGAACGCUGGCGGCAGGCCUAACACAUGCAAGUCGAACGAGUGGCGGACGGGUGAGUAAUGUAUGGGAAACUGCCUGAUGGCGGGGGAUAACUACUGGAAACGGUAGCUAAUACCGCAUACAAUCAGAUGUGCCCAGAUGGGAUUAGCUAGUUGGUGGGGUAAAGGCUCACCAAGGCGACGAUCCCUAGCUGGUCUGAGAGGACGACCAGCCACACUUGAACUGAGACACGGUCCAGACUCCUACGGGAGGCAGCAGUGGGGAAUAUUGCACAAUGGGCGCAAGCCUGAUGCAGCCAUUCCGCGUGUAUGAAGAAGGCCUUCGGGUUGUAAAGUACUUUCGGCGGAGAGGCGUUACCCGCAGAAGAAGCACCGGCUAACUCCGUGCCAGCCGCCGCGGUAAUUC
rnacentral:rRNA from 1 species